UGUUAAUUGAGCUCUUGCCAUGGGCCAGGCCUUGUCUCAUUGGAUGCUCCUGACCGCCCUUUGAGCAUUGCAAAUUUCCUGAGGAACCCACCUCUCUAAAGAUUCUCCAUCCACGUGCUUUGAAGAUCAUCAUGUGCAAACUGAGAACGAAGCCGAUACAGCAGCAGGCAGAGUCAGGAGGAGAGAAACUAAGACCUG